rnacentral:ncRNA from 1 species
GAAGAAGCGCUGAUAAGGACAUGAAUUGCUUUUACGGUUUACAGAGAGGGAAGUUUUGCUGAAAUCUUCCUAACGCAGGAGAGUAAUUUACCACCUUUGAGCUGUAUCGGGGAAUCUAGUAUCCGAUACCGUCUAUGCUACGUUACAGCACCAAAGCCAUAAGUUGUUUUCUAACUUAUGGGAAGUUGGGUGGAACCACGGGUUAAAACGUACUCGUCCCUUUA